CGGGCACCGCUAUUGGAGUUCGCUUAAGCCAUGCGAGUCGAGAGGGGUAAGCCCUCGGCGCACUGCUCAGUAACACGCGGACAAUCUGCCCUCGAGACGGGGAUAAUCCCGGGAAACUGGGAAUAAUACCCGAUAGACCUGGGAUGAUGGAAGGCUCCCAGAUCGAAAUCCUGCGGGGCUCGAGGAUGGGUCUGCGGCCUAUCAGGUAGUAGGGGGUUUCACGGACCCCCUAGCCCGAGACGGGUACGGGCUUUGGGAGAAGUCGCCCGGAGAUGGAUUCUGAGACACGAAUCCAGGUCCUACGGGACGCAGCAGGCGCGAAACCUCCACAAUGUGGGAAAUCACGAUGGGGGAACUCCAAGUGCCUACACUAUGUGUAGGCUGUUCUCGAGCCUAAAAAGCUCGAGAAGUAAGGGCCGGGUAAGACGGGUGCCAGCCGCCGCGGUAAUACCCGCGGCCCGAGUGGUGCUCAUUAUUAUUGAGCCUAAAGCGUCCGUAGCUGGCCGGGCAAAUCUUCCGGGAAAUCGGGCCGCCCAACGGUCCGAAUUCGGGAGACACUGCUCGGCUUGAGAUCGGGAGAGGGUGAAGGUACUCCCGGGGUAGGGGUAAAAUCCUGUUCCGGGGGGGACCACCAGUGGCGAAGGCGUUCACCUAGAACGAAUCUGACAGUGAGGGACGAAGCCCUAGGGCGCAAACGGGAUUAGAUACCCCGGUAGUCUAGGGUGUAAACUCUGCAGACUUGGUGUUGGGGGUCCUGCGUGGGCUCCCAGUGCCGGAGUGAAGAUGUUAAGUCUGCCGCUUGGGGAGUACGGUCGCAAGACUGAAACUUAA
rnacentral:rRNA from 1 species